rnacentral:rRNA from 1 species
AGAGAGAGACAUGCGCGCAUAUCAAUAAGCGGAGGAAAAGAAACUAACUAGGAUUCCCUCAGUAACGGCGAGUGAAGCGGGAAGAGCUCAAAUUUGAAAUCUUCAAGGUUCUACCUUGACGAAUUGUAGUUUAAAGAAGUGUUUUCUGUUGGAGUUUUGGUAAAAGUUCUUUGGAAUAGGACAUCAUAGAGGGUGAGAAUCCCGUAUUUGACCAUUAUUUCCAGCUUUGUGAUACACUUUCAAAGAGUCGGAUUGUUUGGGAAUGCAGUCCAAAAUGGGUGGUAAAUUUCAUCUAAAGCUAAAUAUUGGCGAGAGACCGAUAGCGAACAAGUACCGUGAGGGAAAGAUGAAGAGAACUUUGAAAAGAGAGUUAAACAGUACGUGAAAUUGUCAAAAGGGAAGCGUUUGACACCAGUGUUGUUUUUCUGAAAAUCAAUUAAAGAACUGUUUAUGCUAAGUUGUUUAGACUUUAUCAGCUAUCUGUUUAGUUUUGAGCUUUUCUUUAAUGCACUUUUCAGUUAACAAGUCAACAUCAAUUUCUUUUGCUGUAAAAAAGCUUGAGGAAGGUGGCUUGAGAUUCGUCUUAAGUGUUUAUAGCCUCUUGCCUAUGCAGUCGGAGAGAUUGAGGUCUGCAGCGUAGAUCCUUCGGGGCUAAAUGCAUUUGUGCUAAGUUAUAACAUUUUAUAGACAACUUGUUGACUAUGAUUUGUCUUGUAGCUUACUCGCUUAUGUUAUUUUACCUACGCUUAGGAUGUUGAUGUGAUACUGCGAGCA